rnacentral:rRNA from 1 species
CCUACGGGCGGCUGCAGUGGGGAAUAUUGCACAAUGGGGGAAACCCUGAUGCAGCGACGCCGCGUGAGUGAAGAAGUAUUUCGGUAUGUAAAGCUCUAUCAGCAGGGAAGAAAAAAGACGGUACCUGACUAAGAAGCCCCGGCUAACUACGUGCCAGCAGCCGCGGUAAUACGGAGGGGGCAAGCGUUAUCUGGAUUUACUGGGUGGAAAGGGAGCGUAGACGGUAUGGCAAGUCUGAAGUGAAAGGCCAGGGCUUAACCCUGGGACUGCUUUGGAAACUGUUAGACUAGAGUGCUGGAGAGGUAGGUGGAAUUCCUAGUGUAGCGGUGAAAUGCGUAGAUAUUAGGAGGAACACCAGUGGCGAAGGCGGCUUACUGGACAGUAACUGACGUUGAGGCUCGAAAGCGUGGGGAGCAAACAGGAUUAGAUACCCUAGUAGUC